GGUUCAUUAAUGCCAGGAGAAGAAUAGUACAGCCCAUGAUUGACCAGUCAAAUCGAGCAGGUUUUCUUCUUGAUCCUUCAGUGAGUCAAGGAGCAGCGUACAGUCCGGAGGGCCAGCCCAUGGGCAGCUUUGUACUGGACGGCCAGCAGCACAUGGGGAUCCGACCAGCUGGGCCUAUGAGUGGAAUGGGGAUGAAUAUGGGCAUGGAUGGGCAAUGGCACUACAUGUAACCUCCAACUUGUAAAGCAAAACGCAAAGAAAAAGGGGGAAGUCUGCAAGGCAUGCCAGGGGAGUACGUACCUCAGAGUGGUCCUAUGGGCAUGCGCAUGGCCCCGCAAAGUUACACCCCUCCUCAUCAGAUGACACCUCACCCCACCCAGCUUCAACACGGACCCUCCCUCCACCCCUAACUGCCCGGCCCCCAUCACCUUCAUCACACCCACCAUCCCCAUCACCCAGCCAUGCUGAUGCACGGAGGACCCCCCUCUCAACCAGGAAUCCCCAUGUCUGCACAUAGCCCCCGCCACCCCCCGCUGAGCACCAUUGACCCCAGCGCCGGAGGACAAGGCCUGGACAUCCAUGCCCAAUUGUAUAAGGGAACUUUACUACCACAAUGACGUCAACAUCAUCAACAACAACAACAGCAGCUACUAAGAGAAAAAAAGAUCAACAACAACAACCCUACAACAAAGAUAUUUUCAGAAAACAUUUCAGAAUAAAAGCGCAAAGCCUUUUGACCGGAAUUAGACAUUGAAAACAGAAUUCCAGAUGAGCUGUGAUGAUUUUUUCUUCUUCUUUUUUUUUUUUACUUGUCAAUUUUGUUACUUUCAUCCAAAUGGAGGACCAAGCUGACAUAAACACUUUGUAAAGUCUUGGGCUUUUGUUACAGAUCAGCAGAAGAUGUUCUGACAACGGACACGUGCAAACACGGACACCCACACAAACUCAAGACACACACAUACUAACACAGUACCCACUCUCUCCAGUGACGCGUUCAACUAAUUUUCAAAUGAAAUCACUCUGGAAAAUUGAGAGAAAAAAAGAGAAGAAAAGAUUCCCAAGAGUUAUAACUACUGUAGCAUACAAAUUAUAGAAACAAAGUUAAAACUUGUGCAUUUUUCGUUGAUCACUCAAUUUAUGUUUCCUGAGCUAGUUCUAGAAUAAAAGGUUAACCCUUUCUCUCACACUGUGUGUGCUCCUUCCUGGAGGAGAAACUGUCUCGGUGGCGCAGCAGCACUAUAAAAAAGAAAAGAUGGAACAUCUCAACAACGGACUCCCAUUCGCUCCCAACCAGAGCAACAAGCAGAACGGGCGCUGUCCCCCAUAGAGAACAGGGCAUGAUGGGAAAAGGCUGCUAAAUGACACCUGAUCUCUCCAGAAGAUUCAGUUUAAAAAUGUUUCAUGCCCCUCUUUUUUUGGUUCAUGAAUGAAUGUUGCCCUGUAGGUAUAUAAAAAAAGUUCUUAGUUUGAAUUGCCCAAGCACUGGAUUGUGUUGGUUUUAUACAUUUUUAUUUUAUUUUAUUUUUUUGUAUCCUGGACUCUCAUUGACAGAGCCUAUUGAAGGAAGCUAGUGGAAAAGCAGCAUCCUACUUUGCUUCUUUGCCUCUGGAUAAACAUACUUGCCAUAUGGACAAUACUGACACAAUGGUGGAUUCUUUGGCACUGGGAGAAACAAUUGAUGGUUGAUGCACCAAAAAACAUAAAAAAGACAAAAAGACCAAAAAAAUACUUAAAUUAUGAACUCAAAGCUUUGGGAAAAAGCUAAGAGAAUAUUGCAACAAACUUCGUACAGAGUUCAGUCUAUUAAUUGUUUCAUGUUAGAUAUUCUAUGUGUUUACCUCAAUUGAAAAAGAAUGUUUUUGCUAGUUUCAGAUCUGCUGUGGCAUUGAUAUUGUAUGUCCAUGAAUUCCUUCCUUUUUCAGCACGUGUUCCUCACUAGAUGAUACAAUGCCAUCUCCCUUAAGCUUUGUCAAAAAUACAUUAUUAAAUACUUGUAUGAGGACUGUGACGUAAUGUUUAAAAGGUGUUCAGUCACAAAUGCUGUAAUAAAUAUUUCAUUUUU